rnacentral:rRNA from 1 species
UACGAGGGGGGCAAGCGUUGUUCGGAAUUAUUGGGCGUAAAGCGCGCGCAGGCGGCCUUUUAAGUCUGAUGUGAAAUCUUGCGGCUCAACCGCAAGCGGCCAUUGGAAACUGGGAGGCUUGAGUACAGAAGAGGAGAGUGGAAUUCCACGUGUAGCGGUGAAAUGCGUAGAUAUGUGGAGGAACACCAGUGGCGAAGGCGACUCUCUGGUCUGUAACUGACGCUGAGGCGCGAAAGCGUGGGGAGCAAACAGG